GACGAACGCUGGCGGCGUGCCUAAUACAUGCAAGUCGAACGCAGUGGGGACGGGUGAGUAACACGUGGGUAACCUCCCAUCAGAGGGGAUAACACUUGGAAACAGGUGCUAAACCGAUACUGAUGGAUGGACCCGCGGGGCAUUAGCUAGUUGGUGAGGUAACGUCUCACCAAGGCCUCGAUGCAUAGCAGACCUGAGAGUGUGAUCGGUCACAAUGGGACUGAGAUACGUCCCAGGCUCCACCGGGCGGCAGAAGUAGGGAAGCUUCUGCAAGGGACGAGAGUCUGACCGAGCAACGCCGCGUGAGGUAAGAAGGUUUUCGUAUCGUAACACUCUGUUGUUAGAGAAGCGGUAGCUAACCAGAAAGCCACGGCUUACUCCGUGCUAGCAGCCCCGGUAAUUC
rnacentral:rRNA from 1 species